GGCAAAGGACACAGAGGGAGCUGUCAUGCAUAAAGUUAUCAGCACUCAAGAUGAAAAACGGAAGCCCUUCCUCGAGGCAGUCCACCUGCCUGGCAAACAGUUGUUUUUUUAAGUAGAACUAUUUAGGAGCACCUAUGGGUUAGAUAUGGGCUUCUGCUCUCCUCCACCACCCACAACCAUCUGCAGGAGUUACGUGCCAGAAUGGGAAUUGCGGGCGAGCAGGGACUUUGUUGUGCUCGAGAUGGAGCCUCCAGCACCGAGGACAGUGGCGGAUGCACAGUCGGGGCAGUAAACCUCUGCGCAGAUUUUGAGUUGGAGUUGGGAGCGCCUCUCCUUCAAGACAGUCCCAUCAUCUACUUGGGCACCAGUGGGACAGAGGUCAUUACCAAAAAUUCUGGGGAAGAAGAAAAAUUGGCAGGUACUAUAUUCAGGAAUAAGAAUGUUAAGAUAUGA
rnacentral:lncRNA from 1 species